GUGUUUUUGCAGUGUUGUCAGCGUUUCAACUGUUUCAUGUCUCAUCUACGUUUAAAGGUCAGGUUGUUCCAGGUGAAGCUUUUCGUUUGUCCUCCAUUCCUCUUAAAAAUGGAACAACUGUAACUCUCACUGCUCAGGCUGGGCAGUAAAAAAAAAUCUUAUUUAUUCAUAACGAUUUUAAUUAAAAUCAGAGCUCCAUAAAAACAGAAACUUCUCCAGUGAAGCUACAGGAAGCCCCUCAAGCUGAGAGGAAAACACAGAACACGUCAAAUAAAACUGAAUCCCAGCUUUUCAAAUCAAACAACCCGUAAGAUGAUAGAGGAGAUUUUAGUUUAUCUUUAUAAGUUCACACAGUUCUUGUAAAAAGUGUCCAUCACCUUUUGUUGCUUUCACAAAUCAACAAAGCUUGCUUUUUAAUGACAAAAAUGUGUUUCUAUUCACCAAGUUGCAUUUUGAGUUGGAAUACUCCAGUUAAAGAUUGAUCGAUCACUAAAUUAGCUGAUGAUUAUUUGAAUAAGUGAUUAAUCUGAUUAAUCGCUCUGAAUCAGUCACAACCUGUUUUCUUGUCGGCUAUCAGUUUGUUGUUGCUGUCUUGGCUUUUUAACUCUAUAUGUGAAUAUUUUAGCCCUGUGUGAAGCUGUGGCGGCGGUGAGCGGCCUUGGAGGCCUCGGCGGCGGCAGCAGCUUGCAGAGCACACUGCUGCAGCAGGUCCUGCAGCACAGCUUCCCGUCGGCCUGCAGAGCGUCGGUGUCCUGCAGGAAACAAAAGCCUCCAUACUCUGACCUGAGACAAACACUCCGAGCGAGACGCUUCGUCUUUCAGCCAAACGGCAGGAAAAACCCAAGAUCCUGCAGCUCCGAUAUGUCGGAGCCGGAUCCAUCAGGUUCUGGUGCUAAACAUCUACAGGAACCGAAGCUGGGAAAAUAUACAGAUCCACCUUCAGAGGAGGAAGAGAGCCAUUGGAAAAAAGAAGUCCUUUUAAAAUCACAAUUCUAACUUUUUAUUUCAGAAGACUAAAGUCAAAAUCUAGAGUAAAUGUGAAAAAGUCAAAACUCAGGAAAAAAAAGUUAAAAUUCUGUGGAAAAGUGAGAAUUCCCUUUUCUCAGUGACCCUAACCCUCUUCCAUAUCCAUCCACAUGUAAACUCUAUGUAAUAUCACUAAUAACGAUCAUCAAUAAAAUCUCUGACCUAAGUGGA